rnacentral:rRNA from 1 species
AUGCACGCUGGCGGUAUGCUUCACACAUGCCAGUCGAACGGACUCUUCGGAGUUAGUGGCGGACGGGUGAGUAACGCGUGAGAAUCUGGCUUUGGGUUCGGGACAACCACUGGAAACGGUGGCUAAUACCGGAUGUGCCGAGAGGUAAAAGAGAAAUUGCCUGAAGAUGAGCUCGCGUCUGAUUAGCUAGUUGGUGAGGUAAAGGCUCACCAAGGCAGCGAUCAGUAGCUGGUCUGAGAGGAUGACCAGCCACACUGGGACUGAGACACGGCCCAGACUCCUACGGGAGGCAGCAGUGGGGAAUUUUCCGCAAUGGGCGAAAGCCUGACGGAGCAAUACCGCGUGAGGGAAGAAGGCUCUUGGGUUGUAAACCUCUUUUCUUAGGGAAGAACAAAAUGACGGUACCUAAGGAAUCAGCAUCGGCUAACUCCGUG